rnacentral:lncRNA from 1 species
AAGUUCUUCAGAUGAAAUAACAAAAUUAGACCACAAUUUUCCUCCAGUUCAUAGGUCUACGAACAAAAAACCAAAGCAGACCAAAUUCAAUAGAAAACCAAAAAAAGGCAUUGUUUCAUCCAGCUGAUCUCUAGUUCUAGCAUUGGAUCUCCAUUUUAGUUAGGUGUUCUGGUGAUUUGCAGUGCUAAAGGUGUUUCGAGUCGAUUCCAAGCGACUUUAGGUAUAAUUGAUCUAGCUCGAGUAGACUUUGUGUUUGCUGGAGAUUUCAGAGGUGUUUGGUGUCCAAUUUCGAAUUUUUGUUGUUAAUUUGGGGUGCUAUAUUGAAUGGAUCUGUUACUCCUGAUUGAUUUAAAUGCUCCGGGUUACUGAUUUUUGUUUUUGGGCUGUUUUGAAUAUCAAUCAUCUACUAUUCGAUCACUGUCUCAGCUGACUUCCUAUUCUCAAUUUCUAUUCUGCUUCAGGUACAUGUUCUAAACCUCAUGUGUGGAAUUUCAGUUGAAAUAAAAAGGAAAUUGAGGCUUGCUG